rnacentral:tRNA from 1 species
GGGACCAUAGCUCAACGGGAGAGCACCCGCCUUGCAAGCGGGGGAUAGGGGUUCGAUUCCCCUUGGCUCCA